rnacentral:rRNA from 1 species
AUUAGCUAGUUGGUGAGGUAACGGCUCACCAAGGCAACGAUCAGUAGCCGACCUGAGAGGGUGAUCGGCCACACUGGAACUGAGACACGGUCCAGACUCCUACGGGAGGCAGCAGUGGGGAAUAUUGCACAAUGGGCGAAAGCCUGAUGCAGCAACGCCGCGUGAGCGAUGAAGGCCUUCGGGUCGUAAAGCUCUGUCCUAUGGGAAGAUAAUGACGGUACCAUAGGAGGAAGCCCCGGCUAACUACGUGCCAGCAGCCGCGGUAAUACGUAGGGGGCAAGCGUUAUCCGGAAUUACUGGGCGUAAAGGGUGCGUAGGCGGUUUAUCAAGUCAGGGGUGAAAGGCUACGGCUCAACCGUAGUGAGCCUCUGAAACUGGUGAACUUGAGUGUAGGAGAGGAAAGUGGAAUUCCCAGUGUAGCGGUGAAAUGCGUAGAUAUUGGGAGGAACACCAGUGGCGAAGGCGACUUUCUGGACUACAACUGACGCUGAGGCACGAAAGCGUGGGGAGCAAACAGGAUUAGAUACCCUGGUAGUCCACGCUGUAAAC